CAAGCAGUGUGUCUGACCUCAGUGUUCCAAAAGUGGUUUGGGUUCCAACAGACGGGGCUUGUCCGUGGUGAAGGCGUCGUCGAGGGCACCUCCGCUGCCAAAGGACGGGGAGGCGCAUCCCGUUGAUGCCAGUGGCCUCGCGCAGCGCCAACACCAGUUCCGCAGCCGCUGACGUGAGACCAUUUGUAUAAGGUGGACCCAUUGAACCAGACGGGGAAAAGAGAGAAGGAAAAAGUAGUUUUUCCUUCUGUCAGCGACCAGGCAACUCCGUGUGCAGGCCAAGAAACAAAGGACUCCACGCUCAAACGCCACCCUUGGAAUUCACAGUUCAUACCAUUCAACCAGGGGACCAGAUACUGAUCAAGUCAUUGAAGGACUUUAAAUUACAGCCUAUGUUGGACAGCCCAUUUCAUGUACUGUUGACCACUGAAACUGCUGUGAGGACUGCCGGAAAAGGUUGGACACACUAUACAAGGAUAAAAGGACCAGUGGAACUCCCAUCUGAAGACUGAGUACAAUCAACUGGGAACCCCCUCUAUAUUAAGAUAAAGAGACAAUAAGCAUA